UGCAUGUAUGUAAAGUUGUAGGAAAGAUAUGUAUGUAUGUAGAUGUGAAUGUAUGUUUGUAUGUAAGUACGUAUGUAAGCAUGAUUUAGACACGUUGAGUGUUAAUGUUUUUAAUGGUGUACCUUGAGAAUGAAAAGUAAUGCAGGUACAUUACUGAAGUCUCACCAGGAAAUGGAUACGCAGAUGAAAUGCUUAAAGUUUGAAAAAUGACGAAUAGUGAAGUGUACGUGAAUGAAUCUUGUUUAUAUAAUGUGUGCUAAUGUAUGAAUGAAUGUGGUGAGUGCAGGUUGUACGAAUCACGGAUUAACCUCACAAGGAGUAGCGAUCGAAGACCGAGUCACAAGAUAGAUUGUACGGGAAUGUUUACAUAUGUAAUUUAGUGAUGAUAAGUUAUGUUUUUAUAUUUUAAAGUGGACUUUCAAGUAAGACAAAACGUUUAUAAUGAAUGAAAUUUUAGGGUACGUAUUUCCGCUGCGACUUAUGGUCAAAUGUGAUUUAGGGUCUUACAAGUUGGUAUCAGAGCCCUGGUUUGUGGGAAUCAAGUACGAGAAAGUAAGUACUUGAACUCAAACUUGUGUGCUCUUGAGAUAAGAAACCCGUACAAUCUAAGACUCAAUCAAGAUCCAAAGAUAGAAGCUAAUGUAAGUAUGUACUUAUGUAUACGUAUGAAGAAACUGACGGUUUUGUAUGUACAAGGUAAGCAUAAGUGUUUCAAGAGGAUGAUCCGUGAAAGCAGUUUAAGAUGAAUAACUAGAACCGUCAAGUGACAAAUAGGCAAAUGAGCCCCAGGUACGUGAAUUUAAUAUGUGGGUAUAUGUAAUGGUAAAACUCAGUAAAGGAAGGAAAAUUUUGAAUGAAAGACAAGGAUUGUAUGUAAUGAAGUAUUGAAAGUGAUACACGCGCCGAAACCUAAGUCUACGUACAUAAGGUGGCAAUUGCAUGAAGGCACGAAACUACUAUGUGUAUUGUGUACUUGGCCAGUACACGAGAAACGUACGACGUUCGUGAGAUCAUGAUAAUCGUUACAGGUAUGUCCGGUAGAGUUGGGUAGCAGGCGGGCGUGUGGGUGAAAUGGGAAGUAAGACUCUCGGGAAAAUGAGAGUACUAUGUAAGAAUGAAAAACAUGCCUGUUAAGAAUGAAGAAUGUUGAAUCCGUAAGAAAGUGCGGAUCAACAAGGUAUGAAUGAAAUGUUUGAAUCCGAGAGACGGAUUCAAGGAAGGAAAGGUAUGAAUGCAAUGUUUGAAUCCGCAAGACGGAUUCAAGGUAUGAAAGGCAUGAAUGGGAUGUUUGAAUCCGCGAGACAGAUUCAAAGUAUGAAAUACAUGAAGGGAAUGUUUGAAACCGCUAGUCGGAUUCAAAACAUAAAAAUAAUGAAAGGUAUGGAUGCUACGAUUGUGUACGCAGGACGAGUUUAAAAUAUAGAAAUGAUGAAAAUAGCCCACAUCGCGAUGUGUCAAUGGUUUGACCAUGGUUGUGUCAAACGAAUCAUGUGAGUAAAUGUAAAGUAACUGGAUGAAAGAAUGAUCAGGAUUGGCACGCAAACCUAAAUUUUAAAUUUUAAAAUGAAAGAAAGAAGUUUUGAAUAAGUUAUGUGUUAAAAGUGCUGAUAAUCGACUACUAGGAGUCAAAAUGAAUGACGGGCUAAUACCCGGACAAUGAUAUAAGUACGCGCAAGAAGGAACCUAGAGGUGAUGAAACCCAUCGAUUUGGUGGGAGGUUGUGUACGAGUGAAGGCACAUUGCACGGAUGAAUGAAAUCUAGUCUAGUACGGCUAGUACACGUGAAGAAUGUGGACAGGUCUGAUUUACGGAUCGCUGAAGUAUGGAAGGAAAUCGAGGUAAGUAAAAUGCUUUAAUUUAUGUCAGAUAAGUAUGAAUUUGUAAGUUGAAAACGCCCUACAAAAUGUAUGGUGGAAUGAGUAUGGUAUAGUACAGAAUGUUCGAUUCCUAACAGUGGACCUAAGAAGAAGAUUAUGUCGUUAAGGAAUGAAUCUCAAAGGUUUGAAGUGAAAAUUUCGAGAAUUCGCUAAACUCUCGUAUAAUGAUUUUGCGUGACAUGUGGGCUUAUGUAAACGAAAUAAUGCAUGAAAUAAGAGGAAUAGUAAUGUAGAAUGAACAAGGUGAAUGGAAGAUAACGUAAGAGUAUGUAUGGUACAAGUAGUUAUAGAAAAGAUAGAAUGAUGUUAACUUUGAAGUGAAGCGCGUAUAUGUGAUCAUGAAAUAGUAGUUUUGUGUGGUAACAAAACAAGAACUAAAUGCUAAAUAAUAUAUGUGUAGAAUGUAAUCUUAAGAGAUAGGAUGAUUGUAGUAGAUCCGUUGGGAACGGAUCAUACGAAUGUAUGUAUGAUUACAGAUUGAGGAAGUAUGUAUAUAGACCCGUUAUUGACAGGUCAAGGAAAUGAAAAUGAUAUGCGAAAGUAUGAUAAGGAAGGUAUGGAAUUGUUAGGAAGAAGUCAAUGAUAUGAAUAAUGAAAUAAACAUGAAAGAAACAUUAAUAAGAAUUCUGGGAUGGAUUCUUGAAAUUGGAUGAUAGUCAUGGUGAUGAGCUCGUGGUUAUGUCGAGUGGACGUAGAGAAGGAAUAAUUAGUGUUAAAUAAAGGUAAGAAAGGUUUCGGGGACGAAACCUCAUUUAAGGGUGGUAGACUUGUAACGCCCCAAAAAUCAGAAUGUAAAUAUUUGUCGUGUGUUCAUAUAUGACACGUUAUGAAAUUAAUAACUAGGCUAUUUAACCUAGUUAAGGGUAUGGUCAAAAGUAUUAAAUGAUGAAGGUAGUGUCGGUUAUGUUUUAAAGGCAAACCCGAGGGGUUAAAGUGGAACAAGAUGGAAGUUGUGUUAUUAAAAUAAAAUAACAACACACACAAACACACCUUCGUGUGUGUUCUAGAUCGAUCAGGAGACUCCCAUGGAGUCUCAAACCCUAAACAUGAAAGAUCAUCAAAUUGGAAGGCUAAAUGAUGCUUAAACUCAUAACCGAGCAUGGAUUAAUGAUCACCAACACGAGGGGAUCAUAAGUAUAGGAAUCACGUCGAGACGGGCGCAAGCAUGAGAUGUUAACGGGUCAAUAAGAGGCAAGGAAUCGGAUGCGAGCACGGACGCAUAAGGUUGUACGAAUCACGGAUUAACCUCACAAGGAGUAGCGAUCGAAGACCGAGUCACAAGAUAGAUUGUACGGGAAUGUUUACAUAUGUAAUUUAGUGAUGAUAAGUUAUGUUUUUAUAUUUUAAAGUGGACUUUCAAGUAAGACAAAACGUUUAUAAUGAAUGAAAUUUUAGGGUACGUAUUUCCGCUGCGA